rnacentral:rRNA from 1 species
GAUGAACGCUGGCGGCGUGCCUAAUACAUGCAAGUCGAGCGAACAGACGAGGAGCUUGCUCCUCUGACGUUAGCGGCGGACGGGUGAGUAACACGUGGAUAACCUACCUAUAAGACUGGGAUAACUUCGGGAAACCGGAGCUAAUACCGGAUAAUAUAUUGAACCGCAUGGUUCAAUAGUGAAAGACGGUUUUGCUGUCACUUAUAGAUGGAUCCGCGCCGCAUUAGCUAGUUGGUAAGGUAACGGCUUACCAAGGCAACGAUGCGUAGCCGACCUGAGAGGGUGAUCGGCCACACUGGAGCGGAGACGCGGUCCAGACUCCUACGGGAAGCAGCAGUAGGGAAUCUGCCGCAAGGGGCGAAAGCCUGGCGGAGCAACGCCGCGUGAAUGAUGAAGGUCUUCGGGUCGUAAAACUCUGUUAUUAGGGAAGAACAAAUGUGUAAGUAACUAUGCACGUCUUGACGGUACCUAAUCAGAAGGCCACGACUAACUAC